rnacentral:tRNA from 1 species
CCUUUCGUAGUCUAAUGGUAGAAUGUCUGCUUUGGAAGCAGGCGGUAUUGGUUCGAAUCCAGUCGAGAGGA